GAUGAACGCUGGCGGCGUGCCUAAUACAUGCAAGUCGAGCGAACAGACGAGGGGCUUGCUCCUCUGACGUUAGCGGCGGACGGGUGAGUAACACGUGGAUAACCUACCUAUAAGACUGGGAUAACUUCGGGAAACCGGAGCUAAUACCGGAUAAUAUAUUGAACCGCAUGGUUCAAUAGUGAAAGACGGUUUUGCUGUCACUUAUAGAUGGAUCCGCGCCGCAUUAGCUAGUUGGUAAGGUAACGGCUUACCAAGGCAACGAUGCGUAGCCGACCUGAGAGGGUGAUCGGCCACACUGGAACUGAGACACGGUCCAGACUCCUACGGGAGGCAGCAGUAGGGAAUCUUCCGCAAUGGGCGAAAGCCUGACGGAGCAACGCCGCGUGAGUGAUGAAGGUCUUCGGAUCGUAAAACUCUGUUAAUAGGGAAGAACAAAUGUGUAAGUAACUAUGCACGUCUUGACGGUACCUAAUCAGAAAGCCACGGCUAACUACGUG
rnacentral:rRNA from 1 species